CUAACACAUGCAAGUCGAGGGGUAGCAGGAUGUAGCAAUACAUUGCUGACGACCGGCGCACGGGUGAGUAACACGUAUGCAACCUACCUUCUACAGGGGGAAUAGCCCGGAGAAAUUCGGAUUAAUACCCCAUAACGCAGGGAUACCGCAUGGUAAUAUUUGCUAAAGAUUAAUCGGUAGAAGAUGGGCAUGCGUUCCAUUAGCCAGUUGGUGAGGUAACGGCUCACCAAAGCUACGAUGGAUAGGGGAACUGAGAGGUUUAUCCCCCACACUGGAACUGAGACACGGUCCAGACUCCUACGGGAGGCAGCAGUGAGGAAUAUUGGUCAAUGGACGAGAGUCUGAACCAGCCAAGUCGCGUGAAGGAUGACGGCCCUACGGGUUGUAAACUUCUUUUGUAUGGAAGUAAAAAGAUGGACGUGUCCAUUAUUGCAAGUACCAUACGAAUAAGCAUCGGCUAACUCCGUGCCAGCAGCCGCGGUAAUACGGAGGAUGCGAGCGUUAUCCGGAUUUAUUGGGUUUAAAUUCGAUGAUACGCGAGGAACCUUACCCGGGCUUGAAAUGCAUCUGACCGCUUAAGAAAUUAGGCUUCUAGCAAUAGCAGAUGUGUAGGUGCUGCAUGGUUGUCGUCAGCUCGUGCCGUGAGGUGUCGGCUUAAGUGCCAUAACGAGCGCAACCCACAUUGUUAGUUACUAACAGGUCAAGCUGAGGACUCUGACAAGACUGCCAGCGUAAGCUGUGAGGAAGGUGUGGAUGACGUCAAAUCAGCACGGCCCUUACGUCCGGGGCGACACACGUGUUACAAUGGAUGGUACAGAGGGUCGCUACCUAGUGAUAGGAUGCCAAUCUCGAAAGCCAUUCCCAGUUCGGAUUGGAGUCUGCAACUCGACUCCAUGAAGCUGGAUUCGCUAGUAAUCGCGCAUCAGCCAUGGCGCGGUGAAUACGUUCCCGGGCCUUGUACACACCGCCCGUCAAGCCAUGGAAGCUGGGGGUACCUGAAGUACGCAACCGNCAAGGAGCGUCCUAGGGUA
rnacentral:rRNA from 1 species